CAUUCCUAACGCAGCAGAACU
rnacentral:miRNA from 1 species